rnacentral:rRNA from 1 species
CAGGCUUAACACAUGCAAGUCGAGGGGCAGCAUGGUCUUAGCUUGCUAAGGCCGAUGGCGACCGGCGCACGGGUGAGUAACACGUAUCCAACCUGCCGUCUACUCUUGGACAGCCUUCUGAAAGGAAGAUUAAUACAAGAUGGCAUCAUGAGUCCGCAUGUUCACAUGAUUAAAGGUAUUCCGGUAGACGAUGGGGAUGCGUUCCAUUAGAUAGUAGGCGGGGUAACGGCCCACCUAGUCUUCGAUGGAUAGGGGUUCUGAGAGGAAGGUCCCCCACAUUGGAACUGAGACACGGUCCAAACUCCUACGGGAGGCAGCAGUGAGGAAUAUUGGUCAAUGGGCGAGAGCCUGAACCAGCCAAGUAGCGUGAAGGAUGACUGCCCUAUGGGUUGUAAACUUCUUUUAUAAAGGAAUAAAGUCGGGUAUGCAUACCCGUUUGCAUGUACUUUAUGAAUAAGGAUCGGCUAACUCCGUGCCAGCAGCCGCGGUAAUACGGAGGAUCCGAGCGUUAUCCGGAUUUAUUGGGUUUAAAGGGAGCGUAGAUGGAUGUUUAAGUCAGUUGUGAAAGUUUGCGGCUCAACCGUAAAAUUGCAGUUGAUACUGGAUAUCUUGAGUGCAGUUGAGGCAGGCGGAAUUCGUGGUGUAGCGGUGAAAUGCUUAGAUAUCACGAAGAACUCCGAUUGCGAAGGCAGCCUGCUAAGCUGCAACUGACAUUGAGGCUCGAAAGUGUGGGUAUCAAACAGGAUUAGAUACCCUGGUAGUCCACACGGUAAACGAUGAAUACUCGCUGUUUGCGAUAUACAGCAAGCGGCCAAGCGAAAGCGUUAAGUAUUCCACCUGGGGAGUACGCCGGCAACGGUGAAACUCAAAGGAAUUGACGGGGGCCCGCACAAGCGGAGGAACAUGUGGUUUAAUUCGAUGAUACGCGAGGAACCUUACCCGGGCUUAAAUUGCAGAUGAAUUACGGUGAAAGCCGUAAGCCGCAAGGCAUCUGUGAAGGUGCUGCAUGGUUGUCGUCAGCUCGUGCCGUGAGGUGUCGGCUUAAGUGCCAUAACGAGCGCAACCCUUGUUGUCAGUUACUAACAGGUUCCGCUGAGGACUCUGACAAGACUGCCAUCGUAAGAUGUGAGGAAGGUGGGGAUGACGUCAAAUCAGCACGGCCCUUACGUCCGGGGCUACACACGUGUUACAAUGGGGGGUACAGAGGGCCGCUACCACGCGAGUGGAUGCCAAUCCCAAAAACCUCUCUCAGUUCGGACUGGAGUCUGCAACCCGACUCCACGAAGCUGGAUUCGCUAGUAAUCGCGCAUCAGCCACGGCGCGGUGAAUACGUUCCCGGGCCUUGUACACACCGCCCGUCAAGCCAUGGGAGCCGGGGGUACCUGAAGUGCGUAACCGCGAGGAGCGCCCUAGGGUAAAACUGGUGACUGGGGCUAAGA